GGCACCGUGGAUGAGUGGUCAAUCGCCUCACUGCUAUAAUAUAUAAGUCAAGUGUCAUGAGGAAACGUGGGUUCGAUUCCCGCAGGAGGCC